CAUUUAGUUGAGACAGAUGAGGCUGACAGAUUACAAGACAAACAUCGGGCUUUCAAAUACCAAAUUCUCAGAACCGGUAAUGGAAGUACAUUGAUGACCCAAUCCAAUUGAUUUCUCAAAGGAUUAUUAGAAGCAGUUUUCUAUGUUCGACAAAGCUGAUUGUGAUUCGAAGAAGAUUCUAUUGAAGAUUGAUUUGACACUACUGACAGUGAAUUUUGAAGAAGGUACUUCAGGCCUUGAUCUGAGUAAUUACUCCGACUUGAUUAUCAGAUCACCAGAUCAGGAUGGGAACUUGCUUUAUGUGUUGAGUGCAUCUUCCCAGGGCUCGGAAUGUCAACUUUGAAUGGUACCACUAAAUGUAGAAAAGAGAAGUUUUUACGGACGAAUCUUCAAGGGAUUGCAAUCUAACUCAGUGAUUCAGGGAUAUACAAUUACUCAGUGAAUUGUACCAAUGCUAAAUCUAUUUGGAAUCAGCUGAACCAAAGACAGAGAACUGUGGAGGUUUAAGGAUAUUUAUCGAGUUACUAUCGUAUCAAAUCAGUUUCGUGCAUUUAUGUCAGAACCUUAGGAUUGAACAAAAGAGUUUAUAGCUGCUGAAUCUGAGGAAGCUCAAGUCGACGAAAGUUAACACUUUUGAAGAAUGUGAGGACAGAACUUCAAGGAUUAGCAUAAAACUGUCUUAGAGGUUUAGUCAUGUCAGAUUCAGAUGGAAUCCAUUGGUUUCAAGUGGAGACUCUUCGAGGUUCAGUUCGACAAGUUGUUUGAAAACUGAGUUGGUCAGUACACACAUUAUUGAUUGGUAUCUUUAGCAAAGAAGGGUUUCUAUAUAUAUUGAAGCCUCGACAAACAAGGAUGAUAGGGCUUGUCUGAAAUUCUAGUGGAUGUUUUGAAAGAAGCAUCACAACAAGUUCUUAUGCUAUUUUAGGAAAGGUGUGAG
rnacentral:lncRNA from 1 species